CCCUUAGAUGUCCUGGGCCGCACGCGCGUUACACUGAUGCAUUCAACGAGCUUAUAACCUUGGCCGAGAGGCCUGGGCAAUCUUGUUAACGUGCAUCGUGAUAGGGAUAGAUUAUUGAAAUUAUUAAUCUUGAACGAGGAAUUCCUAGUAAACGCAGAUCAUCAAUCUGCAUUGAUUACGUCCCUGCCCUUUGUACACACCGCCCGUCGCACCUACCGAUUGGAUGGUCCGGUGAAGCCUCGGGAUUGUGGUUCUUGCCGCUUUAUUGUGGCGUGACCGCGAGAACUUGUCUAAACCUUAUCAUCUAGAGGAAUGUGAAGUCGUAACA
rnacentral:rRNA from 1 species